CCUACGGGUGGCAGCAGUGAGGAAUAUUGGUCAAUGGACGAGAGUCUGAACCAGCCAAGUCGCGUGAAGGAUGACUGCCCUAUGGGUUGUAAACUUCUUUUAUAUGGGAAUAAAACGUUCCACGUGUGGGAUUUUGUAUGUACCAUAUGAAUAAGGAUCGGCUAACUCCGUGCCAGCAGCCGCGGUAAUACGGAGGAUCCGAGCGUUAUCCGGAUUUAUUGGGUUUAAAGGGAGCGUAGGUGGAUUGUUAAGUCAGUUGUGAAAGUUUGCGGCUCAACCGUAAAAUUGCAGUUGAAACUGGCAGUCUUGAGUACAGUAGAGGUGGGCGGAAUUCGUGGUGUAGCGGUGAAAUGCUUAGAUAUCACGAAGAACUCCGAUUGCGAAGGCAGUUCACUGGCCUGCAACUGACACUGAGGCUCGAAAGUGUGGGUAUCAAACAGGAUUAGAUACCCUAGUAGUC
rnacentral:rRNA from 1 species